UACGUAGGUGGCAAGCGUUGUCCGGAUUUACUGGGCGUAAAGAGCGCGCAGGCGGUCGUUCAAGUCGCGUGUGAAAGCCCCCGGCUCAACUGGGGAGGGUCACGCGAUACUGAUCGACUCGAAGGCAGGAGAGGGUAGUGGAAUUCCCGGUGUAGUGGUGAAAUGCGUAGAUAUCGGGAGGAACACCAGUGGCGAAGGCGGCUGUCUGGGCCAGUUCUGACGCUGAGGCGCGAAAGCGUGGGGAGCAAACAGG
rnacentral:rRNA from 1 species